rnacentral:misc_RNA from 1 species
UCGUACAACAGAGGCGCGAGGGCUGUCGCUGACCCUUCAAAGGUCGUGCACGCCCGAGCGCUCUCUCACAAUCCAUCUCACCCCUUUGUGCAUCACCGCGUGGGUCCCCCUCCUUUGCGGGGAGGGCUUGCGUUUAUCACACAAUACUCAAUACAGUGUAGAAUGUUUCUUUUGCGAUCACACGCAAUCAAUA